UAGUUUGAUUAUGGCUCAGGAUGAACGCUAGCUACAGGCUUAACACAUGCAAGUCGAGGGGCAGCAUUUUAGUUUGCUUGCAAACUAAAGAUGGCGACCGGCGCACGGGUGAGUAACACGUAUCCAACCUGCCGAUAACUCGGGGAUAGCCUUUCGAAAGAAAGAUUAAUAUCCGAUAGUAUAUUAAAACCGCAUGGUUUUACUAUUAAAGAAUUUCGGUUAUCGAUGGGGAUGCGUUCCAUUAGUUUGUUGGCGGGGUAACGGCCCACCAAGACUACGAUGGAUAGGGGUUCUGAGAGGAAGGUCCCCCACAUUGGAACUGAGACACGGUCCAAACUCCUACGGGAGGCAGCAGUGAGGAAUAUUGGUCAAUGGACGAGAGUCUGAACCAGCCAAGUAGCGUGAAGGAUGACUGCCCUAUGGGUUGUAAACUUCUUUUAUAUGGGAAUAAAGUAUUCCACGUGUGGGAUUUUGUAUGUACCAUAUGAAUAAGGAUCGGCUAACUCCGUGCCAGCAGCCGCGGUAAUACGGAGGAUCCGAGCGUUAUCCGGAUUUAUUGGGUUUAAAGGGAGCGUAGGUGGAUUGUUAAGUCAGUUGUGAAAGUUUGCGGCUCAACCGUAAAAUUGCAGUUGAAACUGGCAGUCUUGAGUACAGUAGAGGUGGGCGGAAUUCGUGGUGUAGCGGUGAAAUGCUUAGAUAUCACGAAGAACUCCGAUUGCGAAGGCAGCUCACUAGACUGCAACUGACACUGAUGCUCGAAAGUGUGGGUAUCAAACAGGAUUAGAUACCCUGGUAGUCCACACAGUAAACGAUGAAUACUCGCUGUUUGCGAUAUACAGUAAGCGGCCAAGCGAAAGCAUUAAGUAUUCCACCUGGGGAGUACGCCGGCAACGGUGAAACUCAAAGGAAUUGACGGGGGCCCGCACAAGCGGAGGAACAUGUGGUUUAAUUCGAUGAUACGCGAGGAACCUUACCCGGGCUUAAGUUGCAUUUGAAUAAUCUGGAAACAGGUUAGCCGCAAGGCAAAUGUGAAGGUGCUGCAUGGUUGUCGUCAGCUCGUGCCGUGAGGUGUCGGCUUAAGUGCCAUAACGAGCGCAACCCUUAUCUUUAGUUACUAACAGGUCAUGCUGAGGACUCUAGAGAGACUGCCGUCGUAAGAUGUGAGGAAGGUGGGGAUGACGUCAAAUCAGCACGGCCCUUACGUCCGGGGCUACACACGUGUUACAAUGGGGGGUACAGAAGGCAGCUACCUGGUGACAGGAUGCUAAUCCCAAAAACCUCUCUCAGUUCGGAUCGAAGUCUGCAACCCGACUUCGUGAAGCUGGAUUCGCUAGUAAUCGCGCAUCAGCCAUGGCGCGGUGAAUACGUUCCCGGGCCUUGUACACACCGCCCGUCAAGCCAUGAAAGCCGGGGGUACCUGAAGUACGUAACCGCAAGGAGCGUCCUAGGGUAAAACUGGUAAUUGGGGCUAAGUCGNAANNNNNUAGCC
rnacentral:rRNA from 1 species